AGCAGGAGGGGUGGAGAUGACUGGAAGUCUGAGAGGUCCUGAGAGACCUCUUUGCAGGGCACUGCCUGCCCCUCUGGCCACUGCUGGUGGCAGAGGAAGAAGCGAAGGGCUAUUGAUCCACCCUUUCCACCCAAGGAGGUCACAGCACAUUCAAGGCCUUCUUUUUAAAAAUGUAUUAACCUGACCGUAAGCAAGCCCCAGUUUAAAAAUAAAUAAAAAUAAGGCAAGAAGCAAAACAAGUGGCAGUGGAGCAAAACCUUUGGAGAACUGAAAGGGCCUUUCAGGAGGGUCCUUUUCAAAGUACCUUCACACUCUAGACUAUCUUGUCAAGCCUGGAUUCUAAAGCCCCCGGUAGGUCCAUUCCCCUUUCCUGUGCCCUGGGCUGCCUGUAUCUCUUCUGGCUCAGUCUGUGCAGGGAGUCUACCUAUAUCCAGAGGGGCCUCACAGAGCUUGGUGACAGUCCAUUUGACAGCCUGUGUUGCCAACCCUGAUUUGGGCAGUUUGGCCUCCCUCUUACCCUGCAGCCACAUUGGCCUUCUCUUGGUUUCUCAGAAGUACAGGUACAAGCCAUUGCACAUGCUGUUCCCCCUGCCUGGAAGGCCCUUCACUUCCUUUUCUCCUGUCCUCUAGUUUAGCACCUGCUCUUGGGGAACCUGUCCGCUCCCCUGGCAGGGUCAGGCCUUGUGUUACUGUGUUGCCCCUGUGGCUCCCAGAAUUUCUCUUUUGUGACAGUUUGUUUGGCAGCACUGGGUUUUGAACUCAGGGCCUAAUGCUUGCUAGGCAGGCACUCUACCACUUGAGCCACCCCACCAGCCUUUCUUUUGUGACUGUUACCACAGGCAUAAUAAAGGAAUUAACUUGGCAUUUUAUAGCAUGUAACAUUUAAACUGGGGGAAAGUUUGUCCUCUCCUCUGUCCUGUGUGCCUUUGCCUUGGCUGCUGUUAGCCACAUAUCCUCUGCUCAGCCCAGCAACCACUGUUCCAGGAACUUGCAGGGAUGGCCACCUAGGGUCUUUUUGGUCUAUAGGUGCAGUUUGGGUGAAGGUGGAGGGAAUGACUUUGUGAUAAAAAUUUACUGUGAUUUCUUAAUGUUCCUUGAGGUGUGGGCAUACCAUGAGGUUAGGAUUUGGUUUCAUAGUGGUGGUGUCCCUUGUCCACCAAAAGGGAAAACUUCUGCCAAUAACUCGGUAGGCUAGGGUGCUUAGCACCUCCCAGAGCAGGUGCCUGCCUCAAAGGAGGCUCCAUCAGCUUGUUCCCUGUUUGGGUGGAAAGACAUGAAGCCUAGAGAACAGAAAGGACUUAGCCAAGGCCACAGAGCAGAGCCUUUGGCAGUCUUUUUUUGGCCCCUGUUUCACUGUGGAAAGAUGACUGGUCAGGUGGCAGGUACAGCCGGCAUCCUCCCUGGCAUUGUUACAUCCACUUGCAUAGCAGCACCUAUUCAGAGAGGAGGGAAUGGAGGCCCCGGACUUAGGUUGUUGCCUCAGAGCACAGCAGAUGUGGCAUUGGAACUCAUAUCUUUCUGACUCCAUAGCCUGGUUCUGCCUACCUCCCAGAAGAGAUACAAGCAGCUCAGGGUACAGGAAAGGUGAAUGGACCUACCGGAGGCUUUAGAAUCCAGGCCUUGUUUCUUGAUGGGGACUUUGCUCUCUGUUAGCUGGUAGAGUCAUAGCCACUUGUAGGAGCCUCCAUUGGCUUCAUCUGUUUGGGCUGGGGUUCCCAGAGACCACCCUUCUUCCCCAUAUGCUUUCAUCUCCUUCUGCUUCUUCUCUUCCUCCCCCUAAAAGGGCGUCAGGUCUUCCUCUGUCCCCUUACCCUUGCCAGUUCCCUCCAAAGCUACUUGGGAUCCCGGAAAGGUACUGAGGGUGAUGAAGCAAAAUUUGCACUGUUCUGCGAGUAACUUUCCAUCAUUUGAAGCUAAAAAUAAAGUGUGUGCUUGCCCCUCCUUGCUGUGCAUGGGUUUUCUUUUGGGGCUUUUGUGGGAGCCACUUGCCUCCAUUCCUGCUUCCCCUUAGCAGGAUCAGGGGUGGGUUUUAUGAUCUCCCUCCCUGGAGAGCAGAACCUUGGGACCUCUGUAAGGAGGCACCUCUGGUCCUCUGUGGCAGUGAGUGGCACUGUGGUGGCUUUGCCACAUGUGGGGAUGCCAACUGGAGCUAAAAACAGACUGGUCACCUUUAGAGCACUUUCUUUGUGCAGGCUGUUUCUUUUUCAUAUCUAGGAUGCACAGAGGCAAGGGAGAUAAAAUUAGUUUGUUCAAUUAAUUUUGUAAAUAUUGACUAAGCAGAAGUUUUACGCCAAGUCACAUGACAGGGACCCAAGAGCUUACCCAAAAACAACAUGACACAGUGCCUUCUUGAAGGUGUUUAUCCUUGAGGUAGAGAAAGAAGGAUGUGUUAAGACAGUACAGAGUGCAGAGCCAUAGGGUCCUGCUUCUACCCAACCUUUCUUCCAGAAUUAGCUGGUGAAGUCAAACCAUGCCAUAUCCCUUUCUUCUCUCUUAAGCCACUGAGGUCUCCCCUGCAAUUUUUUGGUGUGCUUAUUAUGUGCGAGACUGGUGUAAUAUUUUCCUAGCAUUCAUUUUAUAAGCUGUUCUUGAGCCUGUGAAGUAACUGUUCUUGCUCUUGUUUUCCAGCUGAUGAAACUGAGGCCCCAAAAGGUUAAUUGACUUACUCAAAGCCCCCUGGCUGAAAUGUUGCCAUCUGGGUUCAGAUCCAAGCAGGGUCUUGCUAUAUUGCCCAGGUUGGCCUCAAACUCCUGGGCUCCGUGGUCCUUCUAACUCAGUGUCUGAGGUAGCUGGGGCUACAGGUGCAUGCCACCGUGCCUGGCUCGAACCAUGAUCUCUUUAUCUAGAGCUGGCAGAGAAAGAAGACACUUUAAAGCAUUCUGCAAAUCGCAGUGCUGCAUGAAAUGAAAGACGUGAAAAGGGGUGUGUGUUUAGAAGACUAGCUUAUAACGUGGACCUCAGGCCUCCCAUGUGGGGAUAUCUUGCACCCUCGUCAUGAUCAGGUUUCAGAUACAUUUUUACUUUGGCAUACAACUUUUUCCAGGGAUUUGCGGAGUGAAGUCCAAUAAGGUAUUGUCCCUCAAAGAUUUUAUAGUCCAGCUGGGGGAAUGGAAGAAUAAUACACUUUCUGUUGACCAAGUGCAAACCAGGUGUGGGGCCAUCACAGGAGGGUCCCCAAGCCUGGGUCACGCAGGGUGGUCAGAGGUCACUUCCUGGAUUAGGUGCUGAGUAGUAGGAGUUGAAUUACAGAAUUGGAGGAUAAGAGGUUCCCAGUACAUACUUUUGGGUUAUUUGCUGUUGAGCAUUGCUGGUAUACAUACAUGAUGUUAUAGAUGAUUAUAGUUAUUACAUCUUAUUUCAUUAUUUAGUUGCUGUCGUAGGAUUUUUAAUCUUAUACCCAUAGAGUUCACCGUCUUUGAAAAGUCUGAGAUAAAAAGCAAGAAAACAAAACAAACCCCAUGCUUUGUGCCAGCUCAGCUUCUUCCUUGGGAGGGACCAGACAGAGUGGGUUAUCACAAAGCAGGGGUUAAAGAAACCAGUUUCCCACCUCAGGGUCCUGUCCCUGCUUGUGCACUGUGCUGCCCGAGUGUGAGGCUGGGUGAGCACGAGGCCUGCCCACAUGGCCUGCAGAACUGUGGAGGCAGACGGGCUGGUGGGCAGAUCCCCUGUUAAGGUCAAGAGUGGACUCAAACUCUUACAGAGUGAAAGCACAGGAGGCAGCACAAUGUGUGCAUGCU